AACGAACGCUGGCGGCAGGCUUAACACAUGCAAGUCGAGCGAGACCUUCGGGUCUAGCGGCGGACGGGUGAGUAACGCGUGGGAACGUGCCCUUCUCUACGGAAUAGCCCCGGGAAGCUGGGAGUAAUACCGUAUACGCCCUUUGGGGGAAAGAUUUAUCGGAGAAGGAUCGGCCCGCGUUGGAUUAGGUAGUUGGUGGGGUAAUGGCCCACCAAGCCGACGAUCCAUAGCUGGUUUGAGAGGAUGAUCAGCCACACUGGGACUGAGACACGGCCCAGACUCCUACGGGAGGCAGCAGUGGGGAAUCUUAGACAAUGGGGGCAACCCUGAUCUAGCCAUGCCGCGUGAGUGAUGAAGGCCUUAGGGUUGUAAAGCUCUUUCAGCUGGGAAGAUAAUGACGGUACCAGCAGAAGAAGCCCCGGCUAACUCCGUG
rnacentral:rRNA from 1 species